rnacentral:rRNA from 1 species
UACGGAGGGUGCAAGCGUUAAUCGGAAUUACUGGGCGUAAAGCGCACGCAGGUGGCUGAGUCAGUCGAUUGUGAAAGCCCUGGGCUUAACCUGGGAAUUGCAGUCGAUACUACUCGGCUCGAGUAUGGGAGAGGGCAGUGGAAUUCCCGGUGUAGCGGUGAAAUGCGUAGAUAUCGGGAGGAACAUCAGUGGCGAAGGCGGCUGCCUGGCCCAAUACUGACACUCAGGUGCGACAGCGUGGGAGCAACAGG